AUGCCGGACCAAGCCCUACAGCAGAUGCUGGACAGAAGGUCUGGGUGUGUUUUGCCACUGAUGAAGAUGAUAGAACAGCUUAAUGGGUGAGACCAUGCAGGUGCAGAGGAUCUACAAAAUGGGUUCACCAAGCUUGUCUACAACGCUGGGUGGAUGAAAAACAAAAGAGGAAACAGUACAGCCAGAGUGGCAUGUCCUCCGUGCAGGGCUGAAACUUAAUAGUCUUUCCAAAGUUGGGUCCGGUUGUUUAUGUCUUGGAUCUUGCAGAUAGACUGAUCUCAAAAGCUUGUCCAUUUGCUGCAGCAGGAAUAAUGGUUGGCUCUAUCUAUUGGACAGCUGUGACUUCUGGAGCAGUGACAGUGAUGCAGGUUGUAGGCCAUAAAGAAGGUCUGGAUGUUAUGGAGAGAGCUGAUCCUCUAUUUCUUUCAAUUAGACUUCCUACUAUUCCUGUCAUGCUGAUAUUAGGGAAGGUGAUUCGCUGGGAAGACUACGUUCUUAGACUGUGGCACAAAUACUCAGAUAAACUUUUUGAAUAGCAUAUUUCCAGGGAUUGGUUGUCCUGUUCCUCAAAUUCCAGCAGAGGCUAAUCCUUUAGCAGAUCAUGUCUCUGCUACCCGAAUUUUGUGUGGAGCCCUUGUCUUUCCUACUAUUGUGACAAUAGUUGGUAAAUUGAUGUUCAGUAGUGUUAACUCUAAUUUACAAAGGACAAUCUUGGGUGGAAUUGCUUUUGUUGCCAUAAAAGGAGCAUUUAAGGUUUACUUCAAACAGCAGCAAUAUUUGCGUCAGGCACACCACAAAAUUCUAAAUUAUCCAGAGCAAGAAGCAUAAAACUAUGACUUCUGGUUCUUCUUCAGUCCUCUCAUCCUUACGAAUCUGUUGUCUUGUUUUGAUUCCAUCAUUAAUUCACUUGUGGAGA